rnacentral:rRNA from 1 species
GCCCCACCCACCUAGAGGAGCCUGUUCUAUAAUCGAUAACCCCCGCUUAACCUCACCACUUCUUGCCAAUACCGCCUAUAUACCACCGUCGCCAGCCCACCCCGUGAGGGAAAUAGUAGGCACAAUGAUAAGUCACCAAAACGUCAGGUCAAGGUGUAGCGUAUGAAGUGGAAAGAAAUGGGCUACAUUCUCUAACCUAGAGCACACGAAAAAUCAUAUGAAAUUAGAUUAGAAGGAGGAUUUAGUAGUAAAAAGAAACAAUAGUGUUCUUUUUAAGUUGGCCCUGGGGCGCGCACACACCGCCCGUCACCCUCUUCAACUAAUAAAACACGAUUUAUAAAACACAAAACAAACACAAGAAGAGGUAAGUCGUAACAUGGUAAGUAUACCGGAAGGUGUGCUUGGAAUUA